rnacentral:rRNA from 1 species
ACACUCCUACGGGAGGCAGCAGUGGGGAAUUUUGGACAAUGGGCGAAAGCCUGAUCCAGCAAUGCCGCGUGUGUGAAGAAGGCCUUCGGGUUGUAAAGCACUUUUGUCCGGAAAGAAAUCCUUGGCUCUAAUACAGUCGAGGGAUGACGGUACCGGAAGAAUAAGCACCGGCUAACUACGUGCCAGCAGCCGCGGUAAUACGUAGGGUGCGAGCGUUAAUCGGAAUUACUGGGCGUAAAGCGUGCGCAGGCGGUUUGCUAAGACCGAUGUGAAAUCCCCGGGCUCAACCUGGGAACUGCAUUGGUGACUGGCAGGCUAGAGUAUGGCAGAGGGGGGUAGAAUUCCACGUGUAGCAGUGAAAUGCGUAGAGAUGUGGAGGAAUACCGAUGGCGAAGGCAGCCCCCUGGGCCAAUACUGACGCUCAUGCACGAAAGCGUGGGGAGCAAACAGGAUUAGAAACCCCUGUAGUCC